UGUGUCUGUCGUAUAUAUGACACUUCAUUUCCUCCUCAGAGCAAGCCCAAAGCUCUGCUACCACCACCCCACUUUACAGUGAGGAGACUGAGACACAGGACAGUUCUGAAAUGCACACGGCAGCUAUGCCUGGUCAUGUCUAAGUGUGUGUCACUUUCCUGUCACUCCAGCUGAGGCCGGAAGGGCUAGUCCACUUGCUGAGAAGAAGCAGAGCCUCAGAGGCAUGGCUCAAGGUGUCUUAGGUGACAGGCAACGAGGCUUGAGGGAAGGAUAGCUACCUCAGAAGCCCUGGAUACCAGGGCUCAUGAAGCCACCACCAUCAAGGGUGAGGGGAAGUGACCAGCUACAGAAAGGAGGCAAAACUGCUCCCCUGGGGUACCAAAGGACAGGACUGGGGCUACUGCUACCGUGGACAGCCUCUGCAGAUAGAAGCAGCCCAGAGAACUGCCUUGUCCCUCUCCCUAGAACAAUCCUCUGGUAAGCCAGUGCUAAACUGGACACCACCUGAGAAAUACUCUACCCCACUUCUGUCACAGGUAAGACUUGAGUCACAUCUUCAAAAACGUGCCCCUUAGCUUCUUCAGUCUGCUCUCCUCCCCACUUGUGGCCUAGCUCUCCGGAUCUGAACGGCAGGCCCAUCUUCUCUCUCCUGCACUCGACUACCCCCAGCAAAAAGCCCAACAUAACCUCCUCACAGGAGAAAGAGCUCAGGCCCAGGGGGAACACCAAGGAACUCCAGUGAGGCCACGGCCAGGGGCCUGGAUGCAUAGAUACAGGCGUAUCCUCUCGAAAGAAGGAGAAAUGCAUGCAAAAAUCACAGCAAGCGGUUGAGCGAAUGGGCACGAAGUCAACGAUCCACACAUCGGACCCCAUCUUAGUAAACACACAGAUCCUUAUGACAAUGUGAAACCAGAAAACCUGUCACUGUGUAACUUAAUAUAUGCUAAUAAAAGCAUUAAAAUAUGAACAGCUAGGUAAAUAAAUGCUGAGGACCCCACAGCCCCCAUUAAAAGAAGAACUGCCAGCAUUCAAAGCUUCAGCCCAGGAAUAGAAACACUUCAGCUUGCCUAGACUCGCCGUUGCCGGUCCCAUCCCCACCUUCCAGCUGAAAUCUGACAGCUCAUCAUUUCCUGCAUUAAAAUUUCAAACUCCUUUAUUUGGACUCUCUCAUUACAUCCGUCUCAGCACUCCCCAUGAGUCUUCAACUGUCUCCUUACAUAACGCGCCUGCACAAGGUAAACAAGGGAAUUGCCUUGCUCCUAGAUACAUGCCGAGGUUCACGGUGUGUGCGGCACAGCCUGCAUCCUCAAGUGCUCUGCCUACUCCACAUCCUUUCCUGAAUAUGUGGCUUAACUCUUCCUGCUUCCAAGAAGCCUUUCCCAGCCGUCUCCCCGCCAAAGCAUCCACACACCCUUCCAGCCUCGCAGAACCUUCCUCUCCCUGCACGGUUCUGGCAAGCGUCAUCUGUCCUGAUUCCAUGUUGGCUUUCCCCCUUGGCCUUUUACCACUGUGCUCUGAACACUGUGGUGUUCCUUCCAGGGCUAAGGGUCACAUCUACUGGAAAAUAGAACUGAACAGUACUCGACAGAUACCAUUGUGGUAAUACGUAAUGUUGGUGUGGGGGUAAGAAUGGACCUAUGGAAGACAGGGUGGAAUCUCUUAGGUCACCAAAGACAAACAAAAGCCCUGUGUGACUUCCACGAAAACAUUCUGCUCCCGUCCUACAUUUCCCACAUGUGUCAGCCACUUAUUCUUGUUCCAAUCACCACGACAUUCGCAUUUCUCCAUAUAUGAGCAGCAAUUAUAUUUCCUUUGGUGGGUAUGUUCCAAGACUGCAUAUUAAAAUCACCUAGACCGCAUUCUGUACAAAUAAACUUAUUAAAAUCCUGAGGCUUCUAUAUUUGAAAACUCAGGCACACCGCUUCUGGGGAUUUUAAAUUUCAGUACAAUAUUUUGGGGUUGUUAUUUUCUUCCUGAGUAGCAGAGCAAUCUCCACGCCAAAUCAGACUGGUUCACUUUCACGCCAAGGUCCUUGGUAGUUCCUAACUCUUAAAACAAAUAUACUCAAGAAUACAACCCAGCAUCCUUUGCCGUGCUCUCUGAGAAUAGGAUUUCUUACUUCUAGUUCUGUGCUUCCACUGUGUCUCUUUGGGAAGUCCUGACUGUCUAUAGGAUAUUACUAAUAAAAUGGCAAUAAUGAAGCAUGCAUUCAUUUCAGCUUACGGCGGGCAGGCUUGUCAGGACACCACAUCCUGGAAAGUCAAGUGGUAUCUACAAGGGACAUCUUAGCAGAGUAUCAGCUACGUUAUCUCCAAGUAUCAGAACAGGACAGGCUUGAGUCAAACACCUGGCCUCAAGUGAUCUUCUUCCCCCGCCGUCCCAAGGACAUGCCGCCAUGCCACGGGCUGGUGAUAAAGGACGCGGAUCCUCCUGGGUUUCCCUCUGUUUUAUUCCUUCUCCUUUUCUGCUCCACCUCCAUCUCCUUCUACAUCUGGUUGGCCCACAACUUGCUUUGUAGACCAGGCUGUCCUGGAAUUCACAGAAACCAACCUGCCUCUGCCUCCCAAGUGCUGGGAUGGAAAGGUGUGUACCACCAUGUCCCCACCAUGGCAGGGCCCAGAUCUUUACACAAUCGCCUUAAAACUUGAGUCUAGCCAGGUAUGAAAGAGAGCUCAUGUCUGCUCUCCUAGCUGUGGGAGAGGCUCGCUAUGAGUUCGAGGCCAGCCUGUAUUACAUAGUGAGCGCACAGUAAGACCUGGCCUCAAAUAAACAACUAAAUCCACGUACAUAAACCCUAGAUGCUAAAAUGGAAUUUUUUUUUCAGAUGCUCGUGGCUUCGGAUAAAAGGAAGAGAAGGAGCUCAAUAAACCCUGUUUAAGCCUAUUUUAAAACUGUAUUAAUUAAAAAUAAAAAUAACAUUUUAGAAAUGUAUAAUAAGACUCUUUCUUUGACAAGCCCAAGGAUAACAGCAUUGUCUCUCACCAGGCCCUAGAAAGGGAGCCAAGAAGUAGACUGUGGCUUCUGACACAGCAGGCUAUGUCACGUGGAUGUGGUUCUUGCUCAGGCUCAGGCCAGCACACACUGCGAGAGCUGCUAGGUGGCCAGGCCAGACCGCGUACAGUCAGGGCCCUUGGGGGAACCAUGUGCUGGUUCCCAUGGAGCUCACUGCAGGGAUUUAGGUCCCCCAGGGUAUGUUUUAGCCUUGCACACGAGUCUGGGUACCUGCUGAUCCACAAUGUGGUCUUUUUACCCAAAGCAGGCUUCUAGGGUAGGGGGCAGGAACGGAGUUGAGACAUUUAGAAAUAGGAGGCACUUGGGCUGAGUCAGCCUGUGGGCAAAGGGCCAGUCCCUGAUGCUCUUACUCCUCAAGAAACAUAGCAAGGAAGCUCCUUACAGCCUGGCAGGAGAGCAGCAGGAGCCAGGGUCCUGCAGGCAGCCUCUCGAGAGUCACAAGUGUCAGGAACUGGUACAGAAGGAAGGACUGGACUCCCAUUAGGGAGCACCGAUGUGGCCAGGCCCAGGCUAAAGACUUCCCAUCAUUCACAGACCCCCUCCUGGCACAGCAGUGAACACCCAGACCAGGAGUGCAGACAUGUCUGCUUAAAACACAGGCAGAAAGAGAAGGCUCCACAAGACAAAGGCCAGCCGGUAGGGCCAGGCUGGCGGCACCGACAUAGGAGGAGGGCAAAUACACAGGAUUAGAGAAGAGAAAGGUCAGCCAGAAUGUCAGUGUGAAUGGUGCCCAUUCCACCACUGCCUGGAGAGAGGGGCCCUGUGUGGCCUGGGCUAGGGUUGGCUCAGCAGGAUGUCAGCAUCUGGGGCUCCCCAGGGCCACUCAGCAGCCUUCUUGUCCUCUAAGCUUCCCAUCUGGACGGCCUGCAGGGAGACGGCUCCUCAACUGAGCCAUGGCCUGGUGGCUGGACCAGCUCUUUAAAAUGAAUCAACUGACAUCUGGUUAACCUUCGAACCAGGGUUGGGGUGAGCGAGUCAGCAUCCAGUCAUCAGAUACCAUGUUCAUUUCUCAGCUCCCCUAGCUACCGCCCGGGUCCAAACCUGCUUGAUCCAGGGUCUCCCUCCCCGAAGUCAUUCAUAGGACUGAUUCUCCAAGAGCAACCACAGCCAUCUUCGCAGGAAUCAAGUUGGACGCCCUUAUUAUAACCUCCAGUGGUAUGUGGCUGCACAAGCCUGUAAUCAAAGCCCUCGGGAGGCUGAGGCAGGAGGCCCUUAACUCAAGGCCAGCUUGGGCAACAUAUCAAACCCCAAAACAUCUCUAAUGACUUCCCAUCAAAAUAAGGCACCCCCUCCCUACUACACUGUAGUGGCCUCUGCCCAUCUUUCCAGCAUCUGCCCCUACCCCUGCCAGCGAGCACUGCCUUCGCCUACGUAAGCCUGCCCCUUGCAGCCUCUGCCUGUGCUUCAACUGUGCAGGCUUGACCCUGCCUCAGGACUUUGUCUUCCCUGUUCAUGAGCUGUGACUCUGUCCCCUCUCCUGGUAUGACAACUUUCACCUUUGUCUGUCUACCCUUUCUAACAUGGGCCCCUCUCUCUAACUUCCCAUUGUGACAGCAUGCCAACUUGUUUGUGCUUGUGUUCAUUCAAGUACUUUCGUCUGUCUGUUUUUCCAGUGGUUUGUUUGUUUGUUUGUCUGUUUGUUUGUUUGACAUCAUCACAACUGAGCUACACUCACUGACUGACUGACUUAUUUCUAUUCUC